GAACGCUGGCGGCGUGCUUAACACAUGCAAGUCGAACGAUGAAACAGAGCUUGCUCUGUCGAUUAGUGGCGAACGGGUGAGUAACACGUGAGUAACCUGCCCUUGACUCUGGGAUAAGCACUGGAAACGGUGUCUAAUACCGGAUACGACCUGUGAAGGCAUCUUCUACAGGUGGAAAGAAUUUCGGUCAAGGAUGGACUCGCGGCCUAUCAGCUAGUUGGUGAGGUAAUGGCCCACCAAGGCGACGACGGGUAGCCGGCCUGAGAGGGUGACCGGCCACACUGGGACUGAGACACGGCCCAGACUCCUACGGGAGGCAGCAGUGGGGAAUAUUGCACAAUGGGCGCAAGCCUGAUGCAGAAACGCCGCGUGAGGGACGACGGC
rnacentral:rRNA from 1 species